rnacentral:rRNA from 1 species
AUUGAACGCUGGCGGCAGGCCUAACACAUGCAAGUAGAACGAGUGGCGGACGGGUGAGUAAUGUCUGGGAAACUGCCUGUUGGAGGGGGUUAAAUACUGGAAACGGAAGUUAACACCGAAUACCAUCAGAUGUGCCCAGAGGGGAUUAGCUAGUAGGUGGGGUAACGGCUCACCGAGGCGACGAUCCCUAGAUGUGCUGCGAGGAUGACCAGCCACACUGGAACUGUGACACGGUCCAGACGCCUACGGGAGGCAGCAGUGGGGAAUAUUGCACAAUGGGCGCAAGCCUGAUGCAGCCAUGCCGCGUGUAUGAAGAAGGCCUUCGGGUUGUAAAGUACUUUCAGCGGGGAGGCGUUACGCGCAGAAGAAGCACCGGCUAACUCCGUGCCAGCAGCCGCGGUAAUAC